rnacentral:rRNA from 1 species
CGGCGGACGGGUGAGUAACACGUGGAUAACCUACCUAUAAGACUGGGAUAACUUCGGGAAACCGGAGCUAAUACCGGAUAAUAUUUUGAACCGCAUGGUUCAAAAGUGAAAGACGGUCUUGCUGUCACUUAUAGAUGGAUCCGCGCUGCAUUAGCUAGUUGGUAAGGUAACGGCUUACCAAAGCAACGAUGCAUAGCCGACCCUGAGAGGGUGAUCGGCCACACUGGAACUGAGACACGGUCCAG